AGGCCUUAAAUAAAAAACAAGCCAAAUAUCCUGGAGAAAUUCUAAUAAUUAAGUUUUAUUGGAGCAACAAAAAGUAUCCUUCUUGGGAUAAUAUUGGUGCAGGGAGGACCCAGGAGACUUAUCUGGAGCCUGGCAGAUUAAACAACGACCUGCAGGAGCCAGGAGGUUGAUCAAACCCAGUUGAAGCUGUUCUCCCAGGACAGGCAGUGUCUGUUAAUGUACUGGGUGGGAUGUCAACUGGACACGUUUUUACUAUCUGAAUAGUAUGUUAUUAUUAGAAUAGUUUUCAGUUAUUCGAAAUAUAUGUAUUCAUAAACUACCAAUACAACCUCAGCGCUACUACAUUUCAUGCAAAUGAGUGUUUUUCUCCUGUAACAUUGGCUCAAAUGAACAAGCGUGCAUAUGGAUUAAGCUGUGUGGUAGACACACAAAACUCAGCUACAGAACUAGAAGACAAAAUGUAUCAACACAUAACACUGGGUUUAUUGGAUGGAGGAGUCUAGAGAAGCAAGUUAGCUAAGC